GCGACCCCGGGUUAGGCGGGAUUACCCGCUGAAUUUAAGUAUUUCAAUAUGCGGAAGAA
rnacentral:rRNA from 1 species